AAAUCUGCAGGCAAGAACGGAGUAGUAUAUUUAUCUCAUUGUGUGGAGGACGAAGCCUCUGGGACUUCCGACUAUAGUUUCACUGUUAAAUCUCCCAAAGUUUAGAACACAAAGACCCCUGAACGCUGGCCAGCCCACCCUGCAGAUGGCCGGAGGAUCAGAGGCUGUCAGCACGCUUAAACGAGCCAAGAGUCGAGGCUUCAGCCCUGCGGGGGAGGACAGAGCAUGAAUGGGGUAUUUCCACCAAACUCUAUAGCCCCCCACUGGGCAUUUGUAAAAUGAUUUGUGGCAAAUUUGUUUAAUCAAUAUGGAUGUGGGGGUUUGGAUACCCUCCUCGGACAGAAGUCUUUCUUGCCCCCUCCUUUCUUUUUUUUUUUCUUGCUUGUAAAUGCAUCAGUGGUCACUGUGUAAUAAGAAAACCCAGGGCUAACUUUUGUUUCUCUCUGUGUGUGACUGUGAGUGCAACACUAAGAGGAUACAUACCUGACAGGAGGAGAGACGUUAUUGAUCAGCGGAAGACUUGCCAAACAGCACAGGGAUUCAAACAAGUCAUACAAGUUUGGACACUUCAUAAUAAAGACUUGCUCUUUACAUCUA